GAGUGCAAUCAUACCAUCACUAAUGCACCGGAUCCCAUCAGAACUCCGCAGGUUAACAUGCUUGGGCGAGAGUAGUACUAGGAUGGGUGACCUUCUGGGAAGUUCUCUUGUUACACCCC
rfam:Populus trichocarpa scaffold_1006_contig_1, whole genome shotgun sequence.